GAGCGUUCUGUAAGCCGUUGAAGGUGAAUCGUAAGGUUUGCUGGAGGUAUCAGAAGUGCGAAUGCUGACAUGAGUAACGACAAAGGGGGUGAAAAACCUCCUCGCCGGAAGACCAAGGGUUCCUGUCCAACGUUAAUCGGGGCAGGGUGAGUCGACCCCUAAGGUGAGGCCGAAAGGCGUAAUCGAUGGGAAACGGGUUAAUAUUCCCGUACUUCUGACUAUUGCGAUGGGGGGACGGAGAAGGCUAGGUGGGCCAGGCGACGGUUGUCCUGGUUCAAGUGCGUAGGCUUGAGAGUUAGGUAAAUCCGGCUCUCUCUAAGGCUGAGACACGACGUCGAGCUGCUACGGCAGUGAAGUCAUUGAUGCCAUGCUUCCAGGAAAAGCCUCUAAGCUUCAGAUAGUCAGGAAUCGUACCCCAAACCGACACAGGUGGUCGGGUAGAGAAUACCAAGGCGCUUGAGAGAACUCGGGUGAAGGAACUAGGCAAAAUGGUACCGUAACUUCGGGAGAAGGUACGCUCUUGAUGGUGAAGUCCCUCGCGGAUGGAGCUGACGAGAGUCGCAGAUACCAGGUGGCUGCAACUGUUUAUUAAAAACACAGCACUGUGCAAAAUCGCAAGAUGACGUAUACGGUGUGACGCCUGCCCGGUGCCGGAAGGUUAAUUGAUGGGGUUAGCGUAAGCGAAGCUCUUGAUCGAAGCCCCGGUAAACGGCGGCCGUAACUAUAACGGUCCUAAGGUAGCGAAAUUCCUUGUCGGGUAAGUUCCGACCUGCACGAAUGGCGUAAUGAUGGCCACGCUGUCUCCACCCGAGACUCAGUGAAAUUGAAAUCGCUGUGAAGAUGCAGUGUACCCGCGGCUAGACGGAAAGACCCCGUGAACCUUUACUACAGCUUGGCACUGAACAUUGAACCUACAUGUGUAGGAUAGGUGGGAGGCUAUGAAGACGUGACGCCAGUUGCGUUGGAGCCGUCCUUGAAAUACCACCCUUGUAUGUUUGAUGUUCUAACUUAGACCCAUUAUCUGGGUUGAGGACAGUGCCUGGUGGGUAGUUUGACUGGGGCGGUCUCCUCCCAAAGAGUAACGGAGGAGCACGAAGGUGGGCUAAUCACGGUUGGACAUCGUGAGGUUAGUGCAAUGGCAUAAGCCCGCUUAACUGCGAGAAUGACGGUUCGAGCAGGUGCGAAAGCAGGUCAUAGUGAUCCGGUGGUUCUGUAUGGAAGGGCCAUCGCUCAACGGAUAAAAGGUACUCCGGGGAUAACAGGCUGAUACCGCCCAAGAGUUCAUAUCGACGGCGGUGUUUGGCACCUCGAUGUCGGCUCAUCACAUCCUGGGGCUGAAGUCGGUCCCAAGGGUAUGGCUGUUCGCCAUUUAAAGUGGUACGCGAGCUGGGUUUAGAACGUCGUGAGACAGUUCGGUCCCUAUCUGCCGUGGGCGUUGGAAGAUUGAAGGGGGCUGCUCCUAGUACGAGAGGACCGGAGUGGACGAACCUCUGGUGUUCGGGUUGUGUCGCCAGACGCAUUGCCCGGUAGCUAAGUUCGGAAUUGAUAAGCGCUGAAAGCAUCUAAGCGCGAAGCGAGCCCUGAGAUGAGUCUUCCCUGAUACUUUAAGUAUCCUAAAGGGUUGUUCGAGACUAGAACGUUGAUAGGCAGGGUGUGUAAGCGUUGUGAGGCGUUGAGCUAACCUGUACUAAUUGCCCGUGAGGCUUAACCAU
rnacentral:rRNA from 1 species